rnacentral:lncRNA from 1 species
UGCUUCCUGCCGUGCCUGACUUCUGUUUCCCACGCUGCCUAAGGCAGCUUCCUCUGGUUCUCUCCUGCAAAGCCCCCUUUUUCCUUCUUUCUGGCAGCCUUGCUGCCCUCUUUAUAUUUUAUCUUUUUCUGCUUUUCAAAGCUGCCAGGGAAGCUCCCCGUGUCUGCACCUUGCGCGCGCCUUCCUUUCUCCUCUGACCUCGCUGCCAAAGGGCAGCC